rnacentral:rRNA from 1 species
AUUGAACGCUGGCGGCAGGCCUAACACAUGCAAGUCGAGCGGAUGAAGGGAGCUUGCUCCUGGAUUCAGCGGCGGACGGGUGAGUAAUGCCUAGGAAUCUGCCUGGUAGUGGGGAAUACCGUCCGAAAGGGGGCGCAAUUACCGCUAACGUCUUGAGGGAGAACGUGGGGGAUCUUCGGCCCUCACGGUAUCAGAUGAGCCUAGGUCGGAUUAGCUAGUUGGUGGGGUAACGGCCUACCAAGGCGAGGAUCCGUAGCUGGUCUGAGAGGAUGAUCAGUCACACUGGAACUGAGCCGCGGUCCAGACUCCUACGGGAGGCAGCAGUGGGGAAUGUUGGACAAAGGGCGAGAUCCUGAUCCAGUCCUGCCGCGUGUGUGAAGAAGGUCUUCGGAUUGUAAAGCUCUUUAAGUUGUGAGGAAGGGCAGUAAGUUAAUACCUUGCUGUUUUGACGUUACCAACAGAAUAAGCACCGGCUAACUUCGUG